GUUAAUUGUGUAAUAUCUUCUAGAAAAGCUUCUUAGAAGCUUCAUAGACACUGCUUUGACUUUAUAGGAGUCUAUAGUUGACUUUUAGGUUAGAAACUUGGUCAACAAGUUAGCCAUGUGCCACACAUGUUGGAAGCUUAAAGAACAAGCUAACUACGUGGUCCAUCCAUAGAAAACUUGCCUUGCAAGCAAAGGCAUGUGGCCUAGAAAGUCAACAUAUAUUGGAGGUCUUAUAGAACACCGCCACGUGGCUUCUAGUUAGAUAGUAUAUAUAGAGGCAAGAGUGAAGCCCUCUUCACUCUUGUCAACUCCUUUCUUGCUUCUAGUCUAGUUUCAAGGGUCUCUAGUUUUCUUGUAUUUUGGCAAUAGCCAUUCUAAUUUCUUUCUUAAUAUACAUAUUUCUAUUUUGUCCUAUUUCUUUGAGAAAAGUCUCACUUACUCUUUAGCUUUCAUCGAGUUCUUGUCCUUGACAGAUUGACAAGAGUGCACUUACAAUAUGAGAGCUUUGUCUUUUCUUGAUUAAGAGUGGAUUACCCUUUUUUCUUGAUAAGACAUAAGCGCAUUAGAAGUUGCGGAUUACCCUCUUUUAAACUGAUAUUGUUCUUAGUAUUUUCUUUGUUAUCAAUUCCUCUCUUCUAUUUGUUUUGAGCGUUAUUAGACAUCUUCUCUUUUCUAAGUGCUACUAUGGCAGAGCUUGUUGAAAUGAAGAGUGCAAUGGCACAGAUGCAAGAACAAUUGAGUGAGUUAAUGCUUGCGAUGCAUCAACUCAAUUUACCACCACAAGGAGCAACAAGAAUGGUAGGAAGUGAAGAUAUAGAGAUGAUUGGGACUGCUUCAACAUCUGCACCAAACCAUGUCCCUUCUCCCAGAAUGGAACACCCUUCAAGUGUUAGAGAACCGAGAGUGGCCUUGCCCGAGAAGUUUGAUGGUACCAGAUCCAAGUUUCGAGGAUUCAUCAAUCAGGUCCAAUUAGUGAUUGAACUUCAACCCCAGAGCUAUCCAACUCCAGGGUCACAAGUUAGAUUCAUUGGUACACUUCUUUCAGGUUCAGCAUUGUCAUGGUUUUCAUCUUUUCUUGAACGACGAGAUCCAAUAUUGGAUAAUCUGGAGGUUUUUUUGGCGGAGUUUCGAUCCAUGUUUGGAGAACAUGAUGCAAUUCGUGUUGCAACCAACAAGAUCCGUAUUUUGCGACAAGACAAUCGAUCAGUAACAUUAUAUGCUUCACAAUUUCGACAACUUGCAACUGAUAUCAAGUGGGAUGAUGCCGCACUUGUGAGUCAAUUUCUCUACGGAUUACAAUAUGAGGUAAAGAAAUUGAUGCUUAAUUUACCUGAUCCUCAAACAUUGAGUCAAGCAAUUGACUUUGCUGUGAAGUGCGACAAUCGACUUUUUGAAUUUCGAUCCGAGAGUCGCACAAGUAGGCCUCAACGUUACUACAAUUCAAUGACAACACCGACGUCUCCUCAACACAUACCUUCAGAAGUAGAGGAUAUGCAAAUUGAUGCGGUACGUUUCAAACCUCUUAUUGAGCAAGAAAAGUCUCGUCGUCGACAAGAAGGAUUGUGCUUAUAUUGUGGAGAACCUAAGCACACUGCUCAACAUUGUCCAAAGAAGCAACGUAACUACAAAAUGAGGAGUACGGCUGUCAAAAAAGACAGUAUGUCGGAAAACGAGUACGUCCAGCUACAAUAGGGACCGUGCGGCUGGAAUCUUGUACAACUUCUAAUGAAGGUCCUAUCCUCUCCUCAGAACCAUCUCCUUGUUUUAUAAUAGAUGUGCGUUUAGGACCUAAUAAUUACAAAGCCUCUGCCUUGAUAGAUUCAGGAGCCUCAGCUUGUUUUUUAGAUGAAGAAUUUGUUAGAUGUCAUAGAAUAUCAUUAAUACAAAAAACUAAACCUGUACACGUAGAAGUCAUAGAUGGUCGUCCGUUGUCUUCUGGAGAUGUAACUCACGAAACACUUCCUGUAGAUGUAGUAAUAAAUGGUCAUAGUAGUUGCGUAAUUUUUAAUAUAAUUAGAUCUCCCUCUAAUCCAGUAAUUUUAGGCUUAUCAUGGUUAGAAAAGUAUAAUCCUCGAAUAGAUUGGAUUUCUCGUAAACUUGAUUUUCCUCAGAGCAUUAGUAACAGUUCUAUUAAUCAAGUAAAAAACCAUGAGUCUAGUAUAGUAAAACCCGCACUUAUAGGUGCAAAAGCAUUUAUACACGCAACAAAAGAAGGAUCAACUUUUGCUAUUUAUGCUGCACCUAUUUCUGAAAGCAUAAAGACUUCAAGUGGCAUUCCAAGUCAAUAUCAGGAGUAUCAAGACGUUUUUGAGAAAAAAAAUGUAGAUAUUCUUCCUGAGCAUCGCCCAUACGAUUGUUCAAUCGAUCUCAAGGAAGGAACUCAGCCACCAUUUGGACCAAUUUACAGUUUAUCGCAAGAUGAGUUGGCUGAACUCAAGACAUAUAUUGACGAGAAUUUAGCGAAGAAUUUCAUAUGCCAUUCAAAAUCUCCAGCAGGAGCUCCAAUUUUAUUCGUAAAGAAAAAAGAUGGAUCUUUACGAAUGUGUGUUGACUAUCGAGGACUCAACAAGAUCACAAUCAAGAACAGGUAUCCAUUACCUUUGAUAUCAGGACUCCUUGACCAGUUAAAUCAAGCUAAGAUCUAUACAAAAAUAGAUCUAAGAGGAGCAUAUAAUCUAGUACGGAUCAAAGAAGGAGAUGAAUGGAAGACUGCGUUUCGAACCAGGUAUGGGCAUUUUGAAUAUAAUGUCAUGCCUUUUGGACUCACGAAUGCACCAGCUGCUUUUCAACAUCUCAUGAAUGAUGUAUUUCGUGAAUUUUUAGACAAUUUUGUCGUCUGCUAUCUAAACGAUAUCCUGAUUUAUUCUAAGAAUGUUGAAGAACAUGAAAUACAUGUUCGUCAAGUAUUACAAAAACUCAGAGAUGCAGGAUUGUACGCCAAGAUGGAAAAGUGUGUAUUUCACACUACUCAAGUUGACUUUUUAGGAUACAUCAUUUCAAAUGAUGGUCUUAUGAUGGAUUCUAAGAAAGUCCAAACAAUCAUGGAUUGGAAGAUUCCAAAGACUGUAAGAGAUGUCCAAUGUUUCUUGGGAUUUGCCAAUUACUAUCGGAUCUUCAUCAAAGAUUUCUCACGAGUUGCAGCUCCACUUACACGCUUGACUAGUAAAGAUAAAUUCCAAUGGAAUCAAGAAGCGGAAGCAGCAUUUGAAGCCUUGAAGACAUCGUUUGUCUCUGCACCAAUCUUAUAUCGUGUUGACUUUUCCAACGUAUUUUUUAUGGAAACAGACGCAUCGGAUUUUGCCUUGGGUGCAGUUUUAUCACAAAUGGGAACAGAUGACAAACUUCAUCUGAUAGCUUUUCAUUCAAGAAAAUUCUCAGCAGCCGAGAUCAAUUAUGAGAUCCACGAUAAAGAACUUCUUGCGAUCGUGGAUUCCUUUCAAGAAUGGCGUCAUUAUUUAGAAGGUGCUUCUAGUCCAGUCACUGUGUAUACAGAUCACAAGAACCUCGAGUAUUUCAUAUCAGCACGCGUGUUGAAUCGUCGUCAAGCUCGUUGGAGUAUGUCUUUGUCAAGAUUCGACUUCAUUAUCACUUAUCGGCCAGGAAAACAACAAGGUUUGUCCGAUGCCCUGUCUAGACGUUCUUAUUUUGCACCAAAAGAAGGAGAUGCAGCUUUUGAGCAACAAAAAAUGGUCCUCUUGAAACCGGAGCAAUUUCAUCUCCGAGCAGUGGAAUCAACAUUGACUGUUGAUUCAACUUUUCUCAAGCAAAUCCAGUCCAGUAUGUCCUCAGACCCUCUUGUUUAUGAUAUCGAGAAUAAUUCUUCCAAGUCUCAUGAUUCUUCUAAGUUCGAGUUCAAGAAUAAUCUAUUAUAUUUUGAAGGACGCCUAUAUGUUCCAGAAGAAAAAGCACGUUUGCGUGUUCUUCAAGCACGUCAUGACUUUCCAGCAGCAGGGCACUUUGGAUAUAAUAAGACUCUGGAACUCAUAUCAAGAGAUUUUUGGUGGCCACAAAUGUGGAAGUCAGUCAAAGACUUUGUACAAUCAUGUGAUAUUUGUUCAAGAUCAAAAAUUCCUCGACAUCGACCUUACGGACUUCUUCAGCCAUUACCUAUACCAGAACAACCAUGGUCUUCUGUUUCUAUGGAUUUCAUCACAGAUCUUCCAAACUCAAGAUCUUAUGAUUCUAUAUUUGUGAUAGUAGAUCGUUUCACGAAGAUGGCACAUUUUAUGCCAUGUACAAAAUCUAUCACAGGUGAAGAAACAGCUAAGCUUUUCAUUGAUAAUAUCUAUCGCUAUCAUGGAUUACCUAAAGAUAUCAUAUCGGAUAGGGGAACUCAAUUUGUGUCGAGAUUCUGGAGGACUCUUUUCAAGAUUUUAAAAGUGGACAUAAAGCUAUCUUCAGCUUUCCAUCCUCAAACUGAUGGACAAACAGAGCGCGUAAACCAAGUCUUGGAACAGUAUUUAAGGUGUACUAUCAACUACCAACAAGAUGAUUGGACAAACCUUCUAUCAUUGGCAGAGUUUGCUUAUAAUAAUACGGUACAUUCCUCCACGCAACAAACACCUUUCUUUGCCAAUUAUGGCUAUCAUCCACGACUUGAUACUUUUGAUUUUUCAAAAGUUGAUAAUCCUGCAGCAGAAGAUAUGGCAAAUCGGUUGUCAGAGUUACAUGCAAUAAUGAAGGCGCAGUUGAAGAAAGCUCAAGAACGACAAAAGAUAAACGCAGAUCUAUAUCGUAAGGAGCAACCACAGAUCAACGUGGGUGAUAAGGUAUGGCUACUUCGUCGCAAUAUCAAGACUACUCGAUCUUGUGACAAGUUGGACUAUCGUAGGCUUGGCCCCUUUUCUGUUUCUGAAUAGAUCAACCCAGUUGCAUAUCGGUUACAUCUACCGGAGUCAAUGAAGAUCCAUCCUGUAUUCCACGUGUCUCUUCUUGAACCAUAUAAGACAGUGGAUAUACAAAGAAGAAGACAAAUGCCACCGCCUCCUAUAGAAGUAGAUAAUAAUGAAGAAUUUGAGGUGGAAGAGAUAUUAGACUCAAGGCGGCGCCAAAAUAAGCUGGAAUAUCUUGUUCAUUGGUGCGGAUAUGAUAUUAGUGAGCGCACAUGGGAGCCAUCCAGGAAUCUAGCAAAUGCAUCAGCUAAAGUCAAAGUUUUUCAUCAACGACAUCCAUCAAAACCAAGAUGAAAACCUCUCUUAUAAAAGAGACAAGAUUGAGGCAAGAUAACAUUCAAUUUCCUAUCCUUGUUUGUAACUUCUUUGCAUUUUGUGACGCUAAUUAGAUGGAGAGCCAACAACCAGCGGAUUCAACUCAAGAACCUUCGUUUGCUGACUUACCGGAUGAGACAUUGCGAUGGUCACAACCUUCAAGACGACGCAACCGAGAUGAAGACCCUCAAGAACGACAUGUUCUUCCUCGAAUAGAUGGUGAGAUACAACGCGUUUGGUAUCACGACCUUGGAAGAGAUUCUCGAUGUUUGGUGAUAUUAUUAGAGAUAGGAACGACUCCUGAUGGUGUUUCAAAUGUAUUAUUUGAACGAAGUUAUGAAGACCUCAACAGUGAUCAAAUAACAGGGUGGUCUUCUCGCCCUGGAAUGGGACACUAUCGAUGGCUAAGAGGACCCAUCAACUAUCUUCGAAGAGAACAAAGAUCAGAGUAUGUAGCAAAUACAAUUCGCCGCAUAUUAGAUUUUCUCAAUAUAUAAUCACCGCUCCUCGUGGAACUCGUCCCUAGAAGGGGGGGUAAUGUCACGGACAUACAUAUAAUUACCUAUAUGAAUAGAUAAAAGUAUGUAAAAGUAGAUAAAAGUAGGUUAAUUGUGUAAUAUCUUCUAGAAAAGCUUCUUAGAAGCUUUAUAGACGCUGCUUUGACUUUAUAGGAGUCUAUAGUUGACUUUUAGGUUAGAAACUCGGUCAACAAGUUAGCCAUGUGCCACACAUGUUGGAAGCUUAAAGAACAAGCUAACUACGUGGUCCAUCCAUAGAAAACUUGCCUUGCAAGCAAAGGCAUGUGGCCUAGAAAGUCAACAUAUAUUGGAGGUCUUAUAGAACACCGCCACGUGGCUUCUAGUUAGGUAGUGUAUAUAGAGGCAAGAGUGAAGCCCUCUUCACUCUUGUCAACUCCUUUCUUGCUUCUAGUCUAGUUUCAAGGGU
rnacentral:lncRNA from 1 species